ensembl:lncRNA
UCCAAUAUUUUUAGAGCUUGUCAGCGUUCUAAUACUUUUAGAGCUAGAGAGCGUUCCAAUACUUUUCAUGCUAGACAGCAUUCCAAUAUUUUUAUAGCUAGACAGUGUUCCAAUACUUUGAGAUGGACAGUGUUCCAAUACUUUUAGAGCCAGACAGUAUUCCAAUAUUUUUUAGAGCUAGACAGUGGUCCAAUACUUUGAGCUAGACAGCGUUCCAAUACUUUUGGAGCUAGACAGAGUUCCAAUAUUUUUAGAGCUAGACAGCAUUCCAAUACUUUUAGAGCUAGACAGCCUUCCAAUAUUUUCAGAGCUAGACAGCCUUCCAAUAUUUUCAGAGCUAGACAGCCUUCCAGUAGUUUUGGAGCUAGACAGAGUUCAAAUACAUUUGGAGCUAGACAGAGUUCCAGUACUUUUGGACCUAGACAGCAUUCCUUUUUUUUGAGCUAGACAGCAUUCCAAUACUUUGAGCUAGAGAGUGUUCCAAUAUUUUUGGAGCUAGACUGCUUUCCAAUACUUUGAGAAUGCUGGGUGCUUGCUAGACUGUUACUACAUAGUUUAGAGGGUGUUCUGGGUUGUUUCUAGGGUGUAGCUAGAGUAUUCUGGGUGGUUGCUAGUGUGCUGCUAGGUGGCCGCUAAUGUGUUCUGAGUGGUUGCUAGGGCAUUGCUAGGCAGUUGCUAGGGUGUUCUGGGUGGUUGCUAGGCAGUUGCUUGGUGGUUGCUAGGGUGUUCUGGGAGGUUACUAGGGUGCUGCUAGGGGUUUGCUUGGGUGCUCUGUGUGGUUGCUAGGGUUUUCUGAGUGGUUGCUAGGUGGUUGCUUGGUGAUUGCUAUAGUGUUCUGGGUGGUUGCUAGGGUGUUGUGGGUGGUUGCCAGGGUGUUGCUAGGGUUUUAUGGGUGGUUGCUUGACUGUUGCUAGGGUGUUGUGGGUGGUUACUUGUCUGUUGCUUGGGUGCUAUGUGUGGUUGCUAGGCUGUUAUGGGUGGUUGCUAGGGUAUUAUGGGUGGUUGCUGGGGUGUUAUAAUUGUUGCUAGGUUGUUGCUACGGUGUUAUGGGUAGUUGUUAGCUGUUUGUUAGGGUAGGGUGGUAGGCAGCAUUUCAAUACUUUCACAGCCGGAAAGCGUUCCAAUACUUUUGGAGCCAGACAGCAUUCCAAUAUUUUUGGAGCUAGACAGCGUUCCAGUACUUUUGGAGCUAAACAACGUUCCAAUACUUUCAGUGGUAGACGGAGUUCCAAUAUUUUUAGAGCUAGACAGAGUUCCAAUAUUUUUAUAGCUAGACAGCGUUCCAAUACUUUUUAGAGCUAGAAAGAGUUACAAUACUUUUUAGAGCUAGACAGUAUUCCAGUACUUUUAGAGCUAGACAACGUUCCAAUACUUUUAGAGCUAGACAGCAUUCCAAUACGUUGAGCUAGACAGUGUUCCAAUACUUUCAAAGCUAGACGGAGUUCCAAUACUUUUGCAGCUAAACAGAGUUCCAAUACUUCUGUAGAUAGAGUUCCAAUAUUUUUAGAGCUAGAGUUCCAAUAUUUUUAGAUCUAGACAGUGUUCCAGUACUUUUGGAGCUAGACAGCAUUCCAAUACUUUUCGAGCUAGACAGCAUUCCAAUAUUUUUAUAGCUAGACAGCAUUCCAAUACUUUGAGCUAGACAGCGUUCCAAUACUUUUAGAGCUAGACAGUGUUCAAUACUUUUAGAGCUAGACAGCGUUCCAAUACUUUUAGAGCUAGACAGCAUUCCAAUACUUUUAGAGCUAGACAGCAUUCCAGUACUUUUAGAGCUAGACAGCAUUCCAGUACUUUUAGAGCUAGGCAGAGUUCCAGCAGUUUUGGAGCUGGACAGUAUUCCAAUAGUUUUUGCUAGACAGUGUUCCAAUACUCGUAGAGCUAGCAAGUGUUCCAAUACUUUUAGCGCUAGACAGUGUUCCAAUACUUUUAGAGCCAGACCGUGUUCCAAUACUUUUGGACAGUGUUCCAAUAUUUUUAGAGUUAGACAGCGUUCCAAUACUUUUAGUGCUAGACAGCAUUCCAAUACUUUUUUAGAGCUAGACAGAGUUACAAUACUUUUUUAGAAUUAGACAGCAUUCCAAUACUUUUAGAGCUAGACAGCGUUCCAAUAUUUUUAGAGCUAGACAGUAUUCCAAUAUUUUUUAAAGCUAGAUAGUGUUCCAAUACAUUUAGAGCUAGACAGCGUUCCAAUACUUUUAGAGCUAGACAGUAUUCCAAUAUUUUUUAGAGCUAGACAGUGUUCCAAUAUUUUUAGAGCUAGACAGUGUUCCAAUAUUUUCAGAGCUAGACAGCCUUCCAGUAGUUUUGGAGCUAGACAGAGUUCAAAUACUUUUGGAGCUAGACAGAGUUCCAAUAUUUUUAGAGCUAGACAGCAUUCCAAUACUUUUAGAGCUAGACAGCCUUCCAAUAUUUUCAGAGCUAGACAGCCUUCCAAUAUUUUCAGAGCUAGACAGCCUUCCAGUAGUUUUGGAGCUAGACAGAGUUCAAAUACAUUUGGAGCUAGACAGAGUUCCAGUACUUUUGGACCUAGACAGCAUUCCUUUUUUUUGAGCUAGACAGCAUUCCAAUACUUUGAGCUAGAGAGUGUUCCAAUAUUUUUGGAGCUAGACUGCUUUCCAAUACUUUGAGAAUGCUGGGUGCUUGCUAGACUGUUACUACAUAGUUUAGAGGGUGUUCUGGGUUGUUUCUAGGGUGUAGCUAGAGUAUUCUGGGUGGUUGCUAGUGUGCUGCUAGGUGGCCGCUAAUGUGUUCUGAGUGGUUGCUAGGGCAUUGCUAGGCAGUUGCUAGGGUGUUCUGGGUGGUUGCUAGGCAGUUGCUUGGUGGUUGCUAGGGUGUUCUGGGAGGUUACUAGGGUGCUGCUAGGGGUUUGCUUGGGUGCUCUGUGUGGUUGCUAGGGUUUUCUGAGUGGUUGCUAGGCGGUUGCUUGGUGAUUGCUAUAGUGUUCUGGGUGGUUGCUAGGGUGUUGUGGGUGGUUGCAAGGGUGUUGCUAGGGUUUUAUGGGUGGUUGCUUGACUGUUGCUAGGGUGUUGUGGGUGGUUACUUGUCUUGCUUGGGUGCUAUGGGUGGUUGUUAGGUUGUUAUGGGUGGUUGCUAGGGUAUUAUGGGUGGUUGCUGGGGUGUUAUAAUUGUUGCUAGGUUGUUGCUACGAUGUUAUGGGUAGUGGUUAGCUGUUUGUUAGGGUAGGGUGGUAUGCAGCAUUUCAAUACUUUCAGAGCCGGAAAGCGUUCCAAUACUUUUGGAGCCAGACAGCAUUCCAAUAUUUUUGGAGCUAGACAGCGUUCCAUUACUUUUGGAGCUAAACAACGUUCCAAUACUUUCAGAGGUAGACGGAGUUCCAAUAUUUUUAGAGCUAGACAGAGUUCCAAUAUUUUUAUAGCUAGACAGCGUUCCAAUAUUUUUUAGUUAGACAGCAUUCCAAUACUUUUUAGAGCUAGAAAGAGUUACAAUACUUUUUAGAGCUAGACAGUAUUCCAGUACUUUUAGAGCUAGACAACGUUCCAAUACUUUUAGAGCUAGACAGCAUUCCAAUAUGUUGAGCUAGACAGUGUUCCAAUACUUUCAAAGCUAGACAGAGUUCCAAUACUUUUGCAGCUAAACAGAGUUCCAGUCCUUCUGUAGAUAGAGUUCCAAUAUUUUUAGAGCUAGAAUUCCAAUAUUUUUAGAUCUAGACAGUGUUCCAGUACUUUUGGAGCUAGACAGCAUUCCAAUACUUUUAGAGCUAGACAGCAUUCCAAUAUUUUUAUAGAUAGACAGCGUGCCAAUACUUUUGGAGCUAGACAGUGUUCCAAUAUUUUUUAGAGUUAGACAGCGUUCCAAUACUUUUAGAGCUAGACAGCAUUCCAAUACUUUUUAGAGCUUGACUGCAUUCCAAUACUUUUCGAGCUAGACAGCAUUCCAAUACUUUUAGAGCUAGACAGCGUUCCAAUAUUUUUAUAGAUAGACAGCGUUCCAAUACUUUUUCGAUCUAGACAGCGUUCCAAUACUUUUAGAGCUAGACAGCAUUCCAGUACUUUUAGAACUAGGCAGAGUUCCAGCAGUUUUGGAGCUGGACAGCAUUCCAAUAGUUUGUGCUAGACAGAGUUCCAAUACUUUUGCAGCUAGACAGAGUUCCAAUAUUUUUAGAGCUAGACAGCAUUUCAACACUUGUAGAGCUAGACAGAGUUCCAAUACUUUUCAGCUAGACAUCAUUCCAAUAUUUUUAGAGCUAGACAGCGUUCCAAUAUUCUUAGAGCUAGAGAGCAUUCCAAUAUUUUUAGAACUAGACAGUUUGAAUACUUGAAUAGCGUUCCAAUACUUGUAGAGCUAGACAGCGUUCCAAUACUUUCAGAGCUAGACAGCGUUCCAAUAUUUUUAGAGCUAGGCAGACUUCCAAUACUUUUGGAGCUAGACAGAGUUCCAAUACUUUUGAAGCUAGACAGAGUUCCAAUAUUUUUAGAGCUAGACAGCCUUCCAGUAGUUUUGGAGCUAGACAGAGUUCGAAUACUUUUGGAGCUAGACAGAGUUCCACUGUUUUUAGAGCUAGACAGAGUUCAAAUUCUUUUGGAGCUAGACAGAGUUCCAACAUUCUUAGAGCUAUACACAGUUCCAAUAUUUUUAGAGCUAGACAGCGUUCCAAUGUUCUUAGAGCUACACAGUGUUCCAAUACUUUUAGAGCUAGACAGCCGUCCAAAUACUUUGAGCUAGACAGCGUUCCAAUACUUUUGGAGACAGCCGUCCAAAUACUUUGAGCUAGACAGCGUUCCAAUACUUUUGGAGCCAGCCAGAGUUCCAAUACUUU